UACGGGGGGGGCAAGCGUUGUUCGGAAUUACUGGGCGUAAAGGGCUCGUAGGUGGCCAACUAAGUCGGACGUGAAAUCCCUCGGCUUAACCGGGGAACUGCGUCCGAUACUGGUUGGCUUGAGUUUGGGAGAGGGACGCGGAAUUCCAGGUGUAGCGGUGAAAUGCGUAGAUAUCUGGAGGAACACCGGUGGCGAAGGCGGCGUCCUGGACCAAUACUGACACUGAGGAGCGAAAGCCAGGGGAGCAAACGGG
rnacentral:rRNA from 1 species